UGAGGAAUAUUGGUCAAUGGACGGAAGUCUGAACCAGCCAUGCCGCGUGAAGGAAUAAGGCCCUAUGGGUCGUAAACUUCUUUUGUGGUGGAGCAAUAAGAUCUACGCGUAGGUCGAUGAGAGUACAUCACGAAUAAGCAUCGGCUAACUCCGUGCCAGCAGCCGCGGUAAUACGGAGGAUGCAAGCGUUAUCCGGAAUUAUUGGGUUUAAAGGGUGCGUAGGCUGUUUUGCAAGUCAGGGGUGAAAGCCCGGAGCUCAACUCCGGAACUGCCUUUGAUACUGCGAGGCUGGAAUACGGAUGCCGUGGGAGGAAUGAGUAGUGUAGCGGUGAAAUGCAUAGAUAUUACUCAGAACACCGAUUGCGAAGGCAUCUCACGAAUCCGUCAUUGACGCUGAGGCACGAAAGCGUGGGGAUCAAACAGG
rnacentral:rRNA from 2 species